rnacentral:lncRNA from 1 species
ACGCCGAGCUGUCGAGGGCGAAGGCGGCCGGCGGAGGGGGCGUGGCGGCCGACCGGGACGCGCCCAAGCCGCUCGACGAAUUGUCGGUGCGUGCUGGCUUCGCAUGUUCUUGAGUUGAGUUGGUAGUCUCGUUCUCGCAUUUGACUGCAUGAUUUUCACGCGACAUGAACAAAAAGGUGUUACAUUGUUGCGAAUUGUGAUCGAUCUAAAUGCUUGAUAUGGCAGUAUGGUACAUAACAGCAUAUCCAUCUGAAGUUGCUUGAAGUUCCUAGAUCAACUAACUAGUUCGUUCCUGAAAUUUUAUUAACUUUGACAUCAUAAUUUUAGGAUAUUAAAGGGUAAAGACUGGGAUACCUGAAUCAUUGCUGAAUUCACUUGUAUAGAGUUUCGGUUGCGAAAUCACAUAUGCAGAGUGUUUCCAUUACUCUACAUACCACAAGAACUAGCUUUGAAUAUUCUACUACCAUGUCUCUUGCACUCAUGGCAAAAUUAUGUUAAUUCUUUGCUUGAAUUCAG